AUGUGGAACAACAUAAUCUCUCUCAAGUUCGCCAAUGACGAUUUCACAAAAGAAUGGAGACAAACGUUCACUAGGGACUUGGAGGGCAAAUUGAAACAGGAGUCUCCUCUGGAUCAGAUAGAGAUCUACUGUUCCAAGAUUGAGGUCCUGAAUGAAUCUCACCCUCACGUAGCCAAGACUAUCGAGAAAUGUGCCCUAGAAGCUGUCACCUCACUGUGCCAGGUAAGUAGACUGGUUACACUUGACUUAAAUACAGAUUCAAUAUACAGUACCAGUCAAGUUUGGACAAAACUACUCAUUCCAGGGUCUUUCUUGAUUUGCACUAUUUUCUACAUUGUAGAAUAAUACUGAAGACAUCAAAACUAUGAAAUAACACAUGGAAUCAUGUAGUAACCAAAAAAGUGUCAAACAAAUCAAAAAGCUGUCAUCAAGGAAAAGGGUGGCUACUUUGAAGAAUCUCUACUUUAAAAUAUAUUUUGAUUUGUUUAACA
rnacentral:lncRNA from 1 species